rnacentral:rRNA from 1 species
UACGUAGGGGGCUAGCGUUGUCCGGAAUCAUUGGGCGUAAAGAGCGUGUAGGCGGCCCGGUAAGUCCGCUGUGAAAGUCGGGGGCUCAACCCUCGAAUGCCGGUGGAUACUGUCGGGCUAGAGUGCGGAAGAGGCGAGUGGAAUUCCUGGUGUAGCGGUGAAAUGCGCAGAUAUCAGGAGGAACACCGAUGGCGAAGGCAGUUCUCUGGGCCGUAACUGACGCUGAGGAGCGAAAGCGUGGGGAGCGAACAGG